rnacentral:rRNA from 1 species
UAGGAAUCUGCCUGGUGGUGGGGACAACGUUACGAAGGAACGCUAAUACCGCAUACGUCCUACGGGAGAAAGCAGGGGACCUUCGGGCCUUGCGCUAUCAGAUGAGCCUAGGUCGGAUUAGCUAGUUGGUGAGGUAAUGGCUCACCAAGGCUACGAUCCGUAACUGGUCUGAGAGGAUGAUCAGUCACACUGGAACUGAGACACGGUCCAGACUCCUACGGGAGGCAGCAGGC